rnacentral:rRNA from 1 species
UGGUGGAGUGAUUUGUCUGGUUAAUUCCGUUAACGAACGAGACCUCGACCUAUUAAAUAGUUUGUAUAACACUUCGGUCUUAUAUUUGCAAACUUCUUAAAGGGACUGCUGCCGUUCUAGGCAGAGGAAGUACGAGGCAAUAACA